AGAGUUUGAUUAUGGCUCAGGAUGAACGCUAGCUACAGGCUUAACACAUGCAAGUCGAGGGGCAGCAUCAUCAAAGCUUGCUUUGAUGGAUGGCGACCGGCGCACGGGUGAGUAACACGUAUCCAACCUGCCGACAACACUGGGAUAGCCUUUCGAAAGAAAGAUUAAUACCGGAUGGCAUAAUUAUUCCGCAUGGGAUAAUUAUUAAAGAAUUUCGGUUGUCGAUGGGGAUGCGUUCCAUUAGGCAGUUGGCGGGGUAACGGCCCACCAAACCUACGAUGGAUAGGGGUUCUGAGAGGAAGGUCCCCCACAUUGGAACUGAGACACGGUCCAA
rnacentral:rRNA from 1 species